AUUUGGGUAGCUUAAAUUAAAGCGUAGUGCUGAAGAUACUAAGAUAAGAUUAAGUCUUCUCAGAUA
rnacentral:tRNA from 1 species